rnacentral:rRNA from 1 species
UGCGUAACGCGUAUGCAAUCUGCCUUUCACAGAGGGAUAGCCCAGAGAAAUUUGGAUUAAUACCUCAUAGUAUUAUAGGGUGGCAUCACUUUAUAAUUAAAGUCACAACGGUGAAAGAUGAGCAUGCGUCCCAUUAGCUAGUUGGUAAGGUAACGGCUUACCAAGGCAACGAUGGGUAGGGGUCCUGAGAGGGAGAUCCCCCACACUGGUACUGAGACACGGACCAGACUCCUACGGGAGGCAGCAGUGAGGAAUAUUGGACAAUGGGCGCAAGCCUGAUCCAGCCAUGCCGCGUGCAGGAUGACGGUCCUAUGGAUUGUAAACUGCUUUUGUACGAGAAGAAACACUCCUAUGUAUAGGAGCUUGACGGUAUCGUAAGAAUAAGGAUCGGCUAACUCCGUGCCAGCAGCCGCGGUAAUACGGAGGAUCCAAGCGUUAUCCGGAAUCAUUGGGUUUAAAGGGUCCGUAGGCGGUUUAGUAAGUCAGUGGUGAAAGCCCAUCGCUCAACGGUGGAACGGCCAUUGAUACUGCUGAACUUGAAUUACUGGGAAGUAACUAGAAUAUGUAGUGUAGCGGUGAAAUGCUUAGAUAUUACAUGGAAUACCAAUUGCGAAGGCAGGUUACUACCAGUGGAUUGACGCUGAUGGACGAAAGCGUGGGGAGCGAACAGGAUUAGAUACCCUGGUAGUCCACGCCGUAAACGAUGGAUAC